CCUACGGGAGGCAGCAGUGGGGAAUAUUGCGCAAUGGGCGAAAGCCUGACGCCGCGACGCCGCGUGAGGGAUGAAGGUCUUCGGAUCGUAAACCUCUGUCAGCAGGGAAGAACGGUCACUGUGCUAAUCAGCAGUGACUUGACGGUACCUGCAAAGGAAGCACCGGCUAACUCCGUGCCAGCAGCCGCGGUAAUACGGAGGGUGCGAGCGUUAAUCGGAAUUACUGGGCGUAAAGCGCUCGUAGGCGGUAUGUCAAGUCAAGGGUGAAAUCCCCGCGCUCAACGUGGGAACUGCCUUUGAAACUGGCAAACUGGAGUGUGUGAGAGGAUAGUGGAAUUCCAGGUGUAGGAGUGAAAUCCGUAGAUAUCUGGAGGAACAUCAGUGGCGAAGGCGACUAUCUGGCACAUAACUGACGCUGAGGAGCGAAAGCGUGGGUAGCAAACAGGAUUAGAUACCCCAGUAGUC
rnacentral:rRNA from 1 species